CCUACGGGAGGCAGCAGUAGGGAAUAUUGCUCAAUGGGGGAAACCCUGACGCAGCAACGCCGCGUGGAGGAUGAAGGUUUUCGGAUUGUAAACUCCUUUUGUUAGAGAAGAGAAUGAGGGGAUCUAACGAAUAAGCACCGGCUAACUCCGUGCCAGCAGCCGCGGUAAUACGGAGGGGGCAAGCGUUACUCGGAAUCACUGGGCGUAAAGAGCGCGUAGGCGGGAUAGCAAGUCAGAUGUGAAAUCCUAUGGCUUAACCAUAGAACUGCAUUUGAAACUGUUAUUCUAGAGUAUGGGAGAGGUAGGCGGAAUUCUUGGUGUAGGGGUAAAAUGCGUAGAGAUAAAGAAGAAUACUCAUGGCGAAGGCGAACUGCUAGAACAUAACUGACGCUGAUGCGCGAAAGCGUGGGGAGCAAACAGGAUUAGAUACCCGAGUAGUC
rnacentral:rRNA from 1 species